rnacentral:lncRNA from 1 species
AAAUUUCCAAUAAAAAUCAAGAAAAAACAAAAUGAAUACUCAAGUUGCUGUUUCUGGUAAGAAUAUUGAUUACUUGUCACACCUAAUCACAAAAAUCCUUGUCAUGAUUGAUAGUUUUAGAAAAAUUCUGCUUUUUAAACAAUUUUUUUUACCCAAAUAUGGAAUCUUCAAUUAACUAUGCAAUACCGCAGACAGGAAAAGAAGUAUAUAGACUCAUGCAAAGUAAACACUUUGUGAAAAUCUUUUCACCAAAAGUUCAUUUUAUACAUAUUCUACCUAUAUGUCAACAACUGAGCCAUGAAAAUAAUAAGCCUAAAGAAUAAAAUUACUUUUGUAUGUAGCUGUCUCUUCAACUAUGCACUGAUUUUCAAUAACACUGCGCAACUAGAAUUUUCAUCACAAAAAAAAAAGCUUUCAUAGAGGAAAAAAUCUUUCUAUGCUCUUUUCAAUUGAAAAUCAUGUAUGUGAUACCUUCUUAAUCUCAACUUGCCUCAAAAUGUUGUGCUUUAUACCUAUUAAUACUUUUGAAUGGUGUCUAGUAUAAAAAAGCAUAAUUAUUACAUAAUUUCAGUUUUUUCAGUGUAACUUGAUAUCCCUUGAUUUUUUUCUCUUAGACAGUCCUUCAAUCAUGAUGUUUUGUCAUUCUGGGCACACAAAAGUUAACAUGAGCUACUUCCUUGCAGUGAACUUAUGAAAAAAUUACCCUGUGCAGGUUGCAGUCUUGUAAUUGACUGCUCCAUAGGCUUACAUGCAAAACAGCUGAACUUUGAAAAUAAAAAAAUUAAAAUGCUACAUAGAAUUUUUUUCAUGUUUAUUUCAUGUAUGUACUAAUGUGAAAUUGUGAUUUAAUUGAAAAAAAAAGUGGGUCAUGCCACGAAGAAUAAAAAGUUACAUAAUCCUUUAAAACCAUUUUUUUUACUUUGUUUGUUGUUUUUACUAGGCCGCACCACUUAAAGUAAACUUGAUAUUCUUCCACUUUCCUGGUUUGAUAUCCAAAAACAGAUGCAAGAUUUUUUUAAAAAUCUAUAUAUACGUUUCAAUUCAGUAUAAUCCUAUAAUCACAGUGGCGGAUCCAGAACUUUUCCUAAGGGGGGGGGGGGGAUACCCUGGAUCCGCCUAUGAAUCAAACAAAACAAUUGAGUCCGGAAAAAUUCAGAAAAAAUGGACUAUUUGUGUUUCCCUCCAUGUUUUGACAUGCACCGGAAACUGGAGUUGUAAUACAAGACUGGUACCUUUAGACGAUAGGAAUUAAUCCUUGAUAAUGCCUGUUGACAUUAUUCACACUGAGGUUAUCCAAAAGGGAUUUUAGAUCAGCUUAAUAUGCAAACUAUUUGUAUAAUCAAUGUAUGUCCUUCAGUUUGAUCCAAACCUUUUUUUCGAAAUCAGAAGUAUUUCUUUCUUAUAGAUAUUCAAAUACGUUAACCCCGCAUGUGUUUAUAUGAAACUUUUUCUGGAAUUCAGUUAGCAUUCAAUUGUCAUCUUUUGCUUAAUUAAAAGUUAGGUUGUUUAAUAACUUAUACAAAAUCUAAUUGAUGUAGACACAGAGCUUCGGUAAUUUCAACUGUUCAUGUUAAUUUGCAUAUUUCCUCUAGAAAUAAUUAGUUUUACCAAGCUUGAAGUAUACACUCUAAAAUUUUAUUAUAACGCUACUUUGAUGAUCUCGAUUUUUCAGAGAUCAAUUACCUCACGACUGAUCAGUUCCUCAUCUACAACACAUGUAUUAGUCUUCUGUUAGCUGUCUUCAAAAACAGUUAGAACAGCAACUGAAAUCAAAAUCACUGUAUUGAUUUCAAAAUGCUUCUCAUA